CCAGACAGCCAGGAUGUUGGCUUAGAAGCAGCCAUCAUUUAAAGAAAGCGUAAUAGCUCACUGGUCGAGUCGGCCUGCGCGGAAGAUGUAACGGGGCUAAACCAUGCACCGAAGCUGCGGCAGCGACGCUUAUGCGUUGUUGGGUAGGGGAGCGUUCUGUAAGCCUGCGAAGGUGUACUGUGAGGUAUGCUGGAGGUAUCAGAAGUGCGAAUGCUGACAUAAGUAACGAUAAAGCGGGUGAAAAGCCCGCUCGCCGGAAGACCAAGGGUUCCUGUCCAACGUUAAUCGGGGCAGGGUGAGUCGACCCCUAAGG
rnacentral:rRNA from 1 species